rnacentral:rRNA from 1 species
AUGUUGGACAAGUACUCACUCAAGAAACAUCCGUUUCUGACGCAGAUAUAUGAAGUUCGGCAUAAAUGGGCUAAACCAUAUUUCAUGGGUGUCUUCUGUGCUAAAAUGACUAGCACACAAAGGAGUGAGAGUGCAAAUCACCUGCUGAAGGGGUACGUGCCUCUAGGAUGUCCAAUAUGCAUCUGUUCCUCAAGCAGUUUGAGAAGCUUCAAUUUGACCGGCAAUCUGAAGAAAGCUUCCAGGAGAAAAGAACAUCACUGUUCCCGCUGCAGAGUGGUGUAUCUCUUAGAUUUAACCUUCCGUUGGAGAGGCAUGCUAGCAAAGUUUACACGAGGGCCAUGUUUGAGAAGUUUGGUGAAGAGUUGU